UUCAAAGCCAGCAUAACCCA
rnacentral:miRNA from 1 species